CAGUGGUCUUAGGUGACCCCUGUGAAAGGGUUGUUCGACCCCCAGGUUGAGAAACUCUUAGAGGUUUCUCUAGCUCACAGAAUCCUUGGAGUCCUACACCCAAACUGUACAGAAACAGCUGUACUUAAAUCUUGCAGAAAAUGUUAACACAGCAGUAUACUUUCACAAGUCUGCCAAAAUGAAUAUUCUUGAUUUCACAAUCAGUUUCAAGAAAGAAUGAAUUGUUUGAAAAAAGAUAGUUAAAGCGUUUUCCAAAGCCAUGCUUGGUGGUACAUGUCAGAAUCCUAGCACUUGGGAGACUGAGGCAGAAGAUUGCAAUUUUUUAUUUUGUUUUGUUUUGUUUUGUUUGAGGCAAGGUCUCUCUACGAAGCCCUGGUAGGCCUGGAACCCUCUAUGUGAUCAGGCUGGCCUCGAACUCAUUGGGAUCUGCCUGCCUCUGCCUCUGCCUCUGCCUCUGCUCUCCAAGUGCUAGGAUUAAUGCAGCCCAGGCUAGCUUCAAAACUGCAGUCUUCUAGCUGCAUAGCCCCAGGCUCACAAAACAAAAGCAUACUGGAGUAUGUGAUCAUUAAGAAGCAGAAGUCUAGCAGUCUUUUCAUUGGCCUUUGCUUAAGAAACAUUAAAUGCUGUACUGUUUUUCUUUCUGAACAUGCAAUGGCAGUUAGACACGCUCCUUUCAUCUUGACUUUUCUGUCUCAGAAAUCUUUGUGUGCAGGAAGCGGUCGGUCCACGGUGUGCUCUGGCAAUGCUGCUAUACAGGCCUGUGCUCUGAUGGCCUGCCGGAGUCCUGUGCUGUCUCUAGAGUGACUCAGCAUUAGUCAGAGGAGCAGAACAAGAAAUCCUGAGAGACUGUGACCAGCUCCCUACUUAGGCACUCUCCUCCAUCUGCAUGGCCGCUGCAGGCAGCAGCCAGCCAGGAGCAGCGCUGUUUAACCAACAUUUGGUGCCGUUCAGAUUCGGAUACACCACCAAUCACCGAGGACCUGCUGUGACCACUGCCACCUGCCGCCUCCUUCCCCAUCCAGCGAGACCGUGAGACCGUGAGACCGCGAGUGUCCCUGCUGCCUCGCCUCCACUGGACCCACACACAGCUACUGCUGCCGUCACCACAGCCUCCCCGACUAAAACUUAAGCAUCUGGAGAGCAAAGUUCCUGACCCCACAGGCAAAAGAGUCAUCCGCGACAUUUAUGGUGUGCCGGGGAAGAGAUAAAAGCCAAAAAAAAAAAUUGCCAAGUGCUGGCGCUUGCUGACUCCCGCAAGCUGUUGGGUUCCUGUUUUAAGUGAGGAAAAGGCCACAGGCUAGUGAAUGCCCUGCCAGGCCAUCAACAGCCUUGUUAAAAGUGCUGCCUAGAAAGACAACAAGUCAGCUGACUGCCCCCC